ACGGCCAUACCAUGCUGAAUAUACCGGUUCUCGUUAGAUCACCGAAGUCAAGCAUCAUUGGACAUCAGUACUUGGGUGGGUGACCACCUGAGAACACCGCGUGCCGUUG
rnacentral:rRNA from 1 species